rnacentral:rRNA from 1 species
UCGAGUGGCGAACGGGUGAGUAACACGUGGGUGAUCUGCCCUGCACUUCGGGAUAAGCUUGGGAAACUGGGUCUAAUACCGGAUAGGAGCCAUCUUUAGUGUGGUGGUUGGAAAGUUUUUUCGGUGUAGGAUGAGCUCGCGGCCUAUCAGCUUGUUGGUGGGGUAAUGGCCUACCAAGGCGGCGACGGGUAGCCGGCCUGAGAGGGUGUACGGCCACAUUGGGACUGAGAUACGGCCCAGACUCCUACGGGAGGCAGCAGUGGGGAAUAUUGCACAAUGGGCGCAAGCCUGAUGCAGCGACGCCGCGUGGGGGAUGAAGGCCUUCGGGUUGUAAACUCCUUUCGCUAGGGACGAAGCUUUGUGUGACGGUACCUAGAUAAGAAGCACCGGCUAACUACGUGCCAGCAGCCGCGGUAAUACGUAGGGUGCGAGCGUUGUCCGGAAUUACUGGGCGUAAAGAGCUCGUAGGUGGUUUGUCGCGUCGUCUGUGAAAUUCUGGGGCUUAACUCCGGGCGUGCAGGCGAUACGGGCAUAACUUGAGUGCUGUAGGGGUAACUGGAAUUCCUGGUGUAGCGGUGAAAUGCGCAGAUAUCAGGAGGAACACCGAUGGCGAAGGCAGGUUAC